rnacentral:rRNA from 1 species
AUUCCGGUUGAUCCUGCCGGAGGCCACUGCUAUGGGGGUCCGACUAAGCCAUGCGAGUCAAGGGGGCGUCCCUUCUGGGACGCCACCGGCGGACGGCUCAGUAACACGUCGGUAACCUACCCUCGGGAGGGGGAUAACCCCGGGAAACUGGGGCUAAUCCCCCAUAGGCCUGGGGUACUGGAAGGUCCCCAGGCCGAAAGGGAGCCGUAAGGCUCCGCCCGAGGAUGGGCCGGCGGCCGAUUAGGUAGUUGGUGGGGUAACGGCCCACCAAGCCGAAGAUCGGUACGGGCCGUGAGAGCGGGAGCCCGGAGAUGGACACUGAGACACGGGUCCAGGCCCUACGGGGCGCAGCAGGCGCGAAACCUCCGCAAUGCGGGAAACCGCGACGGGGGGACCCCCAGUGCCGUGCCUCUGGCACGGCUUUUCCGGAGUGUAAAAAGCUCCGGGAAUAAGGGCUGGGCAAGGCCGGUGGCAGCCGCCGCGGUAAUACCGGCGGCCCGAGUGGUGGCCACUAUUAUUGGGCCUAAAGCGGCCGUAGCCGGGCCCGUAAGUCCCUGGCGAAAUCCCACGGCUCAACCGUGGGGCUCGCUGGGGAUACUGCGGGCCUUGGGACCGGGAGAGGCCGGGGGUACCCCCGGGGUAGGGGUGAAAUCCUAUAAUCCCGGGGGGACCGCCAGUGGCGAAGGCGCCCGGCUGGAACGGGUCCGACGGUGAGGGCCGAAGGCCAGGGGAGCGAACCGGAUUAGAUACCCGGGUAGUCCUGGCUGUAAAGGAUGCGGGCUAGGUGUCGGGCGAGCUUCGAGCUCGCCCGGUGCCGUAGGGAAGCCGUUAAGCCCGCCGCCUGGGGAGUACGGCCGCAAGGCUGAAA